CCUACCAUGCAAGUCGAACGGGUCCUCCGGGAUUCGCAAGAACUCCGGAGGAUAGUGGCGAACGGGUGAGUAACACGUGAGUAACCUCCCUUCCGGAGGGGGAUAACCACCCGAAAGGAUGGCUAAUACCCCAUAUGCUUUCCCCCCGCUGGGGGUGGAAAGGAAAGAAGGCUUUUCGCUUUCACCGGAAGAAGGGCUCGCGUCCCAUCAGCUGGUUGGUGGGGUAACGGCCUACCAAGGCGAUGACGGGUAGCUGGUCUGAGAGGAUGAUCAGCCACACUGGGACUGAGACACGGCCCAGACUCCUACGGGUNGGCAGCAGUGAGGAAUUUUGGGCAAUGGGCGCAAGCCUGACCCAGCAACGCCGCGUGGAGGAAGAAGGCCUUCGGGUCGUAAACUCCUGUUCUGGGAGAAGAAACGGUGAAGGGUGAAUAACCCCUCACCCUGACGGUAUCCCAGGAGAAAGCUCCGGCUAAUUACGUGCCAGCAGCCGCGGUAAUACGUAAGGAGCGAGCGUUGUCCGGAUUCACUGGGCGUAAAGAGCUCGUAGGUGGUUCCUUAAGUCUCACGUGAAAUCCUUCGGCUCAACCGGAGAAAGCCGUGGGAAACUGGGGAGCUGGAGGGCAGAA
rnacentral:rRNA from 1 species